UACCAAAUGGAACUGGGAGGGCUGGUUCAGGUCAGAUAAUAAAAAGUCUGUCUCCCCUUGAAAUUGAAGAUUAAUUAACCAAACCUUUGUUAAGGUUUAGAAAAUGUUGGCACAGUGCUGCAAAAUUUGGGACUAAAAUUCUAGUCCUAGUGUGUUCCAUUCUGGAAAGUAACACAAUGUUUUUUUAAUUACUACAGCACACCCUAUUAUUUUAUAUGGAUGAGAAGGGUUCAAAAAGACUGGAAUGCGCUCAGCAAUAUUUUUAAAACAAUCCAAAGGCAAUGUGUAAAGAGUGAGGCGGAGCUGCAAAUCAAGGGAUUAAAAUUAGACACAUCAAAACUUAGCCUAAAAUAAGGACUGAAAGGAUGAGAACAUAGGUUGCACCAGCCAUCUUUUCUUUUGGAAAUCAGAAGAGAGAAGUUUUGCGAACAGAAACAAAUUCCUGGAGCAUCCCCUGUUGAAGACCCAGAUGGUUUCUGGCUUCUCUGCAUAGUCUUUGGACUUACAAACCAUGAGAAAUUUAAUCCAAGCGAGCAAAUUACUGAAAAACCCUGACAACCUUCAUUAGAUAAUAAGGCCAAAAUAUAUCCUUGUUUGUCUUCCUUACUGUAUCUUUCUUUGUUCCUCCCCAUGUAUGUUCCUCCUGUGCUCUUUGUUUUAGCAAGUGAGAUUUUUUAUUUUUUAUUUUUAACAAAAACUUGAGAACUGCAUGGAAUAAAACAAGCCCACAAGAAUGAGAAAGCCCGCUUCAGCCUAAAAAUGCUCACUAAAGGAAAAGCAUCCCAGCUCUGCCCCUCCUAUCACUCCUGUGCCUAAGGAGGAUACCUGUCUCCCCGUAGGAUUACAUUUACAUCUAUAUCUUCAACUGUUCUCCUGCCUUUCUUUUCAGUUUCUUAGUUCAGCUCAAGCACAGAUCGCCGAACAGUCUCCUACUUCUGGUAUUCUCACUCCAGGAAAAAAAACAGAGCUGGAUUAUGACUUCAGGACCAAACAUUGUAUGUGCACAUCAGAAAGAACCCUGAAAAGGACACUGGGCAGCUUCCCAAUUUCCAGUUCACUCUGUUUUUCCUUCCCUUCUCUUUUCCUAUUCCUUGUCUAGUAGCUGAGAGAAAAAACAUUGAUUCCUAUAAACCUUUGCUAUUUGUCCUGUUCCAUCUGUGCACAACUGAACAUCCCGUGAGAGGGAAGAGAUCCACCUCCCUCUCUCCUCUGCAGACACAGACAGCAAAGUGACUUCACAAACCCGUUCCACUUUGAUCCACCAUCAGAGAGGAUUUUAAAAGGGUGUUUGUGUCCAUGGAAACAGCAGGGAGGGAGCUUCUUCAUAUGGCCCAGUGUAAUGAAAAUUGGCACAUGCAUUUCUUGCAUGAGCAAGAAGACUCACCACAGAAGAAGAAUGAUUUGGAAGAUCAAAAUUACUCAGAAAGGGAACAUGGAAGUUUUCUCCCAAAUUAAGAAAAAAAAAAAAAAAAGUGGAGAAUGUGUUAUGAUUCUUUAUCACAACAUCAUCAUACUUUCACAACUAUUCCAUAUAUUUCUUUGUAGGUAUGGCUAUGGAUAAGCUAAGUGGGAAAAUAAGGCAUGCAGAGGCCUUUUCAUUGCUGUAUACUUCAGGCAUUUAUUUUCAGUGACUAUUGACUUGGGCAAGAUUUCAAAGAAUGAAUUAGACCCCAGCUUUGCAAAGGAUGCACUAGCACUGUUUAAAUUGUUGGUCAUUAGUAAUUUUUGCUAUACAGUCCUAGUUUUAUUUCCUCAUAUUUUUUGCUUCCCCCUUAAAGCAGCAGUAUUUUGCCACCCUUCUUGGAGGAGAUAAUGAUGAAAUUAAUCCAGUUAUUGAAUUGCCACUCUCUGGAAAGAUCAUUUCACAUAUGGGGAGAAGUGGGAAGAAAUCAAUCUGCUCAUCGAUUGAUUGAAGGUGAAAGCUGAGGUUAGGAAAUUGAAACUUCCAUGUAGAAACAGCGCGGAAGCAUUCAUCCUGCACAACAGGCAAUAAACUGGCUCAUAUGUGAGACUUACGUUCUACAGCCAGUACUGCUGUGACUAGUUUGCAAGUCUCUUUACCUGAAAGUGUAGAGAUUUCCACAGGUGUACACUGGAGACAGAAUCCUUCACACAAGUACUGCUGUUACAUGAAGCCCAUUCAGGCAGGAAUGCUCUCCAGCAAUGCCACCAGGACAAAGAGCCACAUACAGAUCUCUUGGGGAGCCACCACGUGUUUAUGAUAAUGUCUACACUUCUUAUUUCUUAACAUUGUGGAUAAAGGCCAUGACUGUCCCCAUGAGAGACUUCUAAAGGAAAGAGUUAUCUGUUAAAACCUGAAAGGUGUUGAGUGAAAUGAACUGCCGAGUCUGAAACACGCUGCUGAAGGAGAGGUGGUCUGGGGCAGAGGGAAGCCUGCGCUGGCAAAAACUGGUAGAAUCUUUUAGCUCCUAUGUCUGACUUGUUAAAAUGUCACGUCAGUCUGUGGUCCCAGGGUAACAACAGUUACAGCCCAGACAAGAAGGAAAAAAGGUCUGCAGAACUCUUCAGGAGGGUUGCGCCUGCCAAGCGAGGCUCCUAGUCUGAGCUACAGAUACAAGUUCAGUGGGAACCAGAGACACCAUCCACUCAUGUCACAGUGGCAACUAAAGAGCCUUCAAAUUAUAGACUGGAGUUACUAGUGAACUUGAAAGUAAAUUAACCUGUUCCAAACCUAGAAGAAAAUGUUACUUUUUGAGUUGUAAAGCCCCCAGAUGAAUUCAUUUGGUGACUUUUUUUUGCUGCGAGGGAGCAGUUAACUUUGCCUGAGUUUACUCAUCUGUGUAAUGAGGCUGAUGAUACUUAGAAGUAUAUCCCCCAGCAGCUUGGCAAUGAUCUUUUAAAAUGGCACAAUGCUGAAAAAUGGUAAUUAUAAUCAUCCCUACCACUGUGCCCACCCCAAGUAAUUAUCACAUUGCAGAAAAAAAGUACUUGUAUUGGAAUAACAGCACUAUUUAUUUAUGAAGAUAUUGUUUUCUACAUAUGUCUCAGUCUUCUCCAAAUAUAAAAACAUGGUGAGCUGAAGUUGUUCCAUAUUUAUCCAGUUUUGAAUUUUAAUGAGCAAGAAUGCCAUAAGUUCAUGAAAUUUUUAAAACCGGAAGAUGAAUUAGAUUAAUCAACUUCACAGCCCUUUGUGUUCUGGCAAAAGGUAUUGUGCAAACUUUUAGGUAAAUAAUGUUUAAUUUAAUUAUUUAGCUGUAUAGUGCAUCCAUUUCAGCACAAGAGAGAUAGUGAUUAAAAUGCAGAGGCUGCGAAUGCUAAUGCCACUACACAAAUAGCACUAGAACAGGCUGCCCAGGGAAGCAGUUGAGUCACCAUCCCUGGAGGUGUUUAAAAGAUGAGGCUCUUAAGAACAUGGUUUAGUGCUAGAGUUAGGUUAUGGUUGAACUCAAUUAUUAAGGGUCUCUUCCAAACAAAAUGAUUCUAUGGUUGUAAUUUUUCAACAUUUUCUUAAGCAAUCGCAUUUUAAAAUGUAUAAACUACCCCAAUUUUGCUGAAAAGUCUGUAUUCAAAUUUAGAGGUAUCGAAGAUCAUCUUAAAACACACAUGUAGUUCCUUCUUCUUUAGUGGUUUCAUACUCCUGUCCUAGAGAGGCAAGAAACUAAACUAAUAUUGCAGCUUUUUUAAGUUCAGUGCGAUUGUUAGCAGAUUCAGUAGCUAAUGAGAAGAAUAAAGCUGCAAAUAAAGGGAAAACUGGGCUACGGGCAGACUCAAAGGCUGGAAUAGCAGAGAACACAGAAGGUGAGGAGUGCUCUACUCCAUUAAACACAUCAGGAGCAUGAAGGUUAAAAAAACCCCAUGUAUUUUAGACUGGUAGCAAAUGUGGGUUUACAGGGGGAAGUGUGACAGGGGACUGGAACAACCACUGGCACUGCCCAGUGCUGCACGGAUGGCACAUCACAUCCGAGGGGUGGCUGCCAUGCUGGCCAGUCCUCCACCCUCUGCCUGCCUGCUGCCCACUGCCUGCCUGCUGCCUGCCCACUGCCUGCUCAUUGCCCACUGCCUGCCCACUGCCUGCUCAUUGCCCACUGCCUGCCCACUGCCUACUGCCUGCCCGCUGCCUGCUCGUUGCCCACCGCCUGCCCACUGCCCACUGCCUGCCUGCUGCCUGCCUGCAGGGCUGGGCCAGCACUGCGCAUCAACCUACUCAGAUGGUGGGCAUGGCACAGCAGUGCAGGCUGGCACUAUCAUUGUUUCAUGCACAGCCAGGAAAAGCACAUGGGAGCAUUCAGCAUGAAGCUGCUCUAGAAAAGCUGUUUCAGUGAAUGAGCUGUAAAAUUUCUGGGGUCUAGCACAGGAAGAAUAUAGCUUUUCAUUGUGCCUUCUGUCUUCAGCCUCAGUCCAGCCCCUUCUCUUUUAUAAGCAUGAUAUCCACUCAUUAAAUCCUAACUAAAAUUAAACUCUUAAACUCCCUCCUCUUCACCUGACUCUCCAGCUGCCCAGGUUCUCACAUCACUUUCAGCCCUUCCCAAUUCCUCCCUGCAUCCUCAUUUCCCCACCAAGGUGAGAGACCCUGAAGGCUUUGCUGCCAAAAGCCCUGCCUCUUAGAACAUUUUAAUAGUUCUCUCACAUUCUGUUAUUUUUAGAUGCCAAGCCAGAAGUUUCACUGCACAAGAAAAGAAACCAAUUUACAGUUUCGUGUAGAAACACAGCCACUUUCAGUUCAUUUGUUUUCCAUCUUGAUUAUCAACACGUUUGUCAUUUCUCUGUAAUUUAUUCAUUAUCUUUAGUCGAGGAAAGUGAAAAGGAGGGAUAGGAGAGAAGAAGGAGAUAAGUGCACUUGUCAAAAUGUGAAGCAGAUGCUCUAACAAUGAUUGGAGACAAUUAAUGUUCUCAGUAAGUAUCAACAGGCAAGGUCUGUGGAUUGCUUCACAUUUUUGCAGCAAACAGCCUUCUGGAAGAUGCAAAUACAGAGGCUUUGUUUUCGAGGCACGUGAGAGCAUGUCUUGUUUGUAAUGAGAUGUCCUAAGAAACUUCACAUUGCUGCUUGAAAUUGUGGCUGUUCCGAUCAUCACUGGCCUAAAUAAUAACACAGCAACGAAGGGGGAACUGUAUGGCUGGUAACAGAACUAACGAACCUGUCACCGCUCCCUCCUCCCGGCUCAGGCUCAGCAUGCAAAGCAAAGCAUUUAACACGUGUUUAACCUUGAGUUACUCAAAGUCAAUAGCACAUAAGCAUGUACUUAAAGCUGAGCACAUACUUUGCCAUUGCCAGGGUAGGCAUGUAACCAGCAAAGAUCUUUGCUGCACUGGGGUGCUUUGUCUCUUGCUGAGGAGUGACCCUCGUGAGUCAGCCCUCAUGGGAAGGACGCUCAUCUGCUCUCCCAUCAAGCACCAAAGAAACACAGUAGAGCCAAGGAGUUAGCAUCAGGCUUCAGUCUAUAUCAAUUUGGGGAAUGCUGCUGCAAAAGCCAAUUGCAAUAAAUAAAUAUAAUAAGACAGAAAAAAAAUCAAUAACAAAUAGAUGUGAUCUAAUUACUAACAUUUGUAAUAAUAGUUUAUUGUUCUAUGCCACGUGUAGCUUUCAUCUUCUCUCUCUGCACUCUGUCAGUUGAAUUUUCCCUUCUGCUGUUCUGUUAUCUAAAAUGAUCAAACACCUACCAUGCCCUGGAAAGUAUACCAAUUAAGAGCUGCAUUUAAAUCUACUUGAAUGUGCCUGUCACAAAGUUAAUUGGAAUAAACACAUAUUUGAUAUUAUAUUGUUUGAAUUCUGCUCCAAGCCAGGCUAUCAUCCAUCACAAUCUUUCGUUAUACUCAUUUGUAUUCUUCUUCUUCUCACUUUUCCUCCUUUUAUUUUGUUAUUGACGGUGUAAUGAUAGCAGACACCAACCUGAGAGGUUCUUUGUCUUCCACUCCAUUCUCCCCAGCAACCUCUCUCUGCCAGCUGGGCAGGAAGAGCAGGAGCAUGAACAGGGCAUCUGCAGAAUCACAUAUCCUCUGGAGAACGCACACACCUUGGGAAAGGGGAUUUCUUCACCAGGGACCCAGACUUUGACCCUCACAUUUAAAAACCAACAAUGAGCCUAUCAAAAGGUCUGUUAUACACAACAUACGGCAAUGAGUUCUGUGUCAAACAUAAAAUAGUACUUUUUUACAUGACAUGAAAAAUAUCACUUUUUUUCUGUUUGCCUUAAUCCUGCUAUCACGUCUAUUACAAACAUGAGAAAAAAUACAUCAGCCAGAUCAGACCACAACCAGAGCUUACUUAAUGGCAGUCAGCAAAUACUCUUCAUUUUCUUUUCAGUGCAAUGAUUUCAGCGCAGCUAGGCAUCAGUACCACAGGAAUUUCAGGCAGUGUGCAUGUUAGUCUAUGGCCACUAGAGUUCCAUAAACUCUUGAGAGAUUCACAACAAUUGGUAAGAAAAAUUGGUGUCUGCAGCAACAAGAGCACUAAAGUUUGAUCAGCAUGUAAAUCGAUCACUGCUUGAGAAAAGCAUGGCACAACAAAAAUCCUUAUUGUUCUCUUGUUACUGGGGUUUGGGUCUUAGGGGUUUUGUGAGGUGAUAAGAUUAUCCUAAUCUGAAAGGAGCCAGCAUGCUAAUUUUCCUCUCUAGUGCCUCAUCUUCUGGAAUGAAUCAGCUAUCCAAACGCAUGGCUGAUUAAACUGCAUUGCUAUCACUGGACCUAUAUCAGGAACAAAUUUGAUUCAGGGGAUGUAUUAUCUGUUUAAAUGCUGGGGUAAGACAUUUUUAACUAUGCAGAUGUGACUUAAAAAUAUUUACAGGGAAGCUAUCUGGGAAAGGAAAGAGUAAAGUUUUUCCCAGUCAUCGUGCAUAUGGGGCAUCCAUGCAUGGCAUGCAAUAUGAAAUCAGAGUGAAAAAAUGCACCUCAUCACUCAUAAAGAACAUAGCAGUUCCUCUUCAUGCAUGAAAUGUGUAUUUCUUCUCUAAUGGUAGUUCAAGUAUUGAGGUAAUCUAUUUUUCGUUUUCAGCACAGACACAUUUAUUAGCAGAGUUAAUAAGACAGUCUUUGUCAGAACAUAUUGUCUGUUGUCAAAAUCUAAGGAUUAACAUUGUAUUGCAUGUCUGAAUAGAAUUACUUUCCCAUAAGAUUUGCUAUACCAAGUUAGUUACAUGGUCCAGUAGGUCUGGUACCCUGCCAGAUAGCAAUAAAUAAAUGGGAAAUAAAUAAAAUUUCAGAGAAAAGUUUAAUUCUAGGAUGCCAUCUCACUCCAACAUGCAUUAUGUACCUUGAUAAUUGUUGCAGUACAGCAUGUGGAAGGAAACAUUUCCUUACGACCUUUGUAGGCAAUUAGUUUGUGCCCUGAAACCUGGCAUUUGACUACCCUUAUCUGCCAAGCAUUGAUGCAAACGCCAUUAUCAGAGAUUCUUUCAGGGUUACAAUGGCUUAUCACACCUCACAUUAGGAUAAGGGAACAGUAAAGCAUUCAGAACCCUCAGCAGUAAUCCAGAUGAAUUAGAUUUCAGUAAUAAGAGCUUGAUAAAGUAGCAUGUUCUCCUACCCCAAAUCACUCAUAUAUAUGUAGAGUCUAAUAACUAAUUAUCUUAGAUUCUCAGAAGAUUAUUUUUCUGGGAAUCUGUCAACAGCAAUUUUCUUUUAGAUGUGGUCCUAGCUUCUCAGAUAUAGUCAGUUCAUGGUUUCCAGACAUUUGGUAAAUGCCCAGAGGAAGGGUUUUUUUUAAUGUCAUGUGCCUCCCUCAGCCUGAACAAAUUAACUGUUACAAACACGGAAAAUAUCCAUUUUGCCACAUUGUUGAACUGUUCAAAUCUUUCCAUUUGGAAGAUUAGAAACAAUCCAAUCAAACUGCUUGCCACCUGGCUACUUCACAUCAUUAUUUGCAGUGGAAUUAAAUAAAAUGAUCAUUUCCAAUUUGAAAAUAGAAGUGGAAAACAAUUAUGUGACCUGGAUGGCCUUUUAAUUAGUGCUCUGUGUUCGCCGAAACACAACCGGUUUGAUUUUUGUGCUGAGUUUCUGCUCCUAAAAGUGGAAAGUGCUGUGGGGUGUCCUGGAGAGCUCCUGGGGGAGAAAGGGGGGGGGUGCAGGGGAAGCCAGGAGGAUUGGGUUUUUUUACCCCACAGCAUCCCCUACUGUUUCUUUUGGAAACGGUACUGAUUCACACAGCAGGCACUCUCCCUCGGUCCCCAGCCACGAGGAGAAGGGCAGGGCAGGUCCCAGGGCUUGUCAGCAGACCUGGAGGGGUAGGAGUGGGAAAAUGUAAAGAUUUAGUUUUCCCAGGAGACUCACGGGUGACUCUUCAUGGGAAAACUAAUGCCCCAGUAAUUCAAAAUAGCGCAUGUUUCGGUACCAUAAAAAUCUCAAUGCCUAACGGGAGUAGCAGUUUUCUAAGGAGCCUCCACCACUGCAAGAGACACUUGGUAACUUAACACACCGUCUGAAGCCAUAGCAGUGUCUCCCAGUGAGCUCUAUUCCCUUGCAGAAGAUUUGGCCAUGUUUCUUUCAGUUAUGUGACAGCUGCCAGCCCCAAAUCAGUAUCCAGGUGUGUACAGAAAAAAUGAGUCUUUGAGUGCACUUGGGAUUGUUUUGUUUUGUAAAAAGCCGUAUGCCUACUCAAAAAUUUGGAACAUUUCUGAAUGCUUUAAUACUGACAUACACAUGCAGAAAAUCCUUUUCUCCCAAAGGAAUGUGUAAAUGCAACUUCGAAUUUGCAUUUAGAGGGGUAUUGAAUUUUUUCUUUAGCUAUGAACAAAAAUUUGUAAAAUAUAUAUGCAAGUGGAGGUAAGGGGUCUGAAUACACAUUUACUGAUUUCUCUACAUCUUACUUUCCUUACUUAUUAAACUGGGUUAACAGUAGUUCUGCACCUCCCAGGAGUGUUAGGAAACCUUACUCAUUAAAGUUUGUAUAGUAUUUCGAGAUCCUUGAUGGCAGAUGCUAUAUAAGUGCAGAAACACAUCACUUGAUAAAUAUGAAUGGCAAUUCACUCAAAGGCUUAACAGUGUUCAGAAAGGGAGUAACUGAAGAAUAUCAAAUGCUGCAGGCUCAAAUGAAAGUGAGCUCAUCAAAAUAAAUGAUUUACCAGAGGCUUCUAAGCGCCUUGCUUCCUACAGAUGAGACGAAGAGUUCAUCCCCUUCUCUGCUCAGCAACAGAGAAUAAGCCAUAGCAUUGCACAUCACAAACAGUGAUUCUAGCAUUCUUCUCUGUUGGAGAGUUUCCCUUUAUUGUAUAGCCCCAUAAACUGAUGAAUUGAGGUCAGAGUGGUUCAUGUUAUCACUCUAAGUAUAGAAAAGAACUUGUGCCAAACGUGGAAAACAAACAAACAUUCAUCAUGAAAAAGGUCUCAAGGACAGUGAUAUCUGUGAGUAUUGUCUCUUCCCUCUAUUUGCUAUUGCAAACAAAAGAAAAAGCUUGUGGAGGGGAAAAAAAAAAAAAAAAUAAUA